UUAGAAAGCACAAUGGAUUUUCUGGUGCAGAUUUUCAGCUUCCUACUAGUCAGUGUCACAGUGUCCAGUGGACAAAUGGUUCUCACCCAGUCUCCAGCAUUCGUGGUUGCAUCUCAAGGAGACAGGGUCACCCUUACCUGCAUAACCAGCUCAAGUGUAAGCUCCAGUUACUUCAACUGGUACCAGCAGAAGCCAGGAACAUCCCCUAAGCUCCUGAUUUAUAAAGCAUCCACUCUGGCUUCUGGAGUCCUAGCUCGCUUCAGUGGCAGUGGGUCUGGGACCUCUUACUCUCUCACAAUCAGCAGCAUGGAGGCUGAAGAUGCUGCCACUUACUACUGUCAGCAGUGGAGUAGUUCUCCCUUCACACAGUGAUACAGACUGGAACAAAAACCCUUUAUCUCCCUAGGGCCCAACAGCUUCGUCCUAGUGGUGAAAUGUGGCCAAGGGUUUCGUGGCAAUAAUCCACACAGGGUGCUUUAUGCCCUGCUUUACAAGGACAUUUGCAUCUUUGGGUAACUUCGUGUCUCCAUAAUACCCCACUGUACUUCAGUGCUGUUCUCAAGUUUGUUCAUUGUUUGUUUAUUCUCUAUUUUUGGUUCUGUUUGUUGAAGGAAAGUGUAGUAGAAACUUUUCAACUAUUUUACUGGAGUUCCUCAGAAGCCUUCAUACCUUGAUUCUUCUCCCAGCACUGAUCACAGGAUCUUCUCUGGCAUUUUUCCUUCAGGACAGUCAUUUAUUAAAAGUACACUGCCUCUGUUAUGAUAGUAAAAGUAGGAUCCAUCUUUAUCUUCUGAUUUUCAUUAACAAACUGUCUUUCCCACUGAAAGUGUCUUGUCAAUUUAUGCUUGAAGUGAUUUUCUC